GCAUCGAUGAAGAACGCAGCGAAAUGCGAUACGUAAUGUGAAUUGCAGAAUUCCGUGAAUCAUCGAAUCUUUGAACACAAAUUGUACUUUUCAGUAAUCUGGAAAGUAUGCUUGGUUGAGGGUCAUUAAAAUAACAUUCGUGAAUUUUUUCGCGGAUUUGAGUUUUCCAAUGUUCAUUAUAAAAUAGAUGUUGGUAACUUUAAAAUUAUUUAUAACUUGGUACAAGUUGAAAACGUGCUAUAUGUGUGGUUCGCUAACAACUUGUCCAUCUUAAUAUAUUAUGCGCGUGCUUGGCUUUUUAAGUUUUGUGCGAGUAUAUAUUUUGUUUAUGACCUCAGCUCAAGCAAGAAAACCCGGUGAACUUAAGCAUAUCAAUAAGCGGAGGA
rnacentral:rRNA from 1 species